rnacentral:rRNA from 1 species
UACGAAGGGUGCAAGCGUUAAUCGGAAUUACUGGGCGUAAAGCGUGCGUAGAUGGUUCAUUAAGUCGGAUGUGAAAGCCCCGGGCUCAACCUGGGAACUGCAUCUGAUACUGGUGGACUAGAGUGUGGUAGAGGAUGGCGGAAUUCCCGGUGUAGCGGUGAAAUGCGUAGAGAUCGGGAGGAACAUCCGUGGCGAAGGCGGCCAUCUGGACCAACACUGACGUUGAGGCACGAAAGCGUGGGGAGCAAACAGG